UACGGGGGGGGUAAGCGUUGUUCGGAAUUACUGGGCGUAAAGGGCUCGUAGGCGGCCAACUAAGUCAUACGUGAAAUCCCUCAGCUUAACUGGGGAACUGCGUGUGAUACUGGAUGGCUUGGAUUUGGGAGAGGGAUGUGGAAUUCCAGGUGUAGCGGUGAAAUGCGUAGAUAUCUGGAGGAACACCGGUGGCGAAGGCGGCGUUCUGGACUGCAACUGACACUGAGGAACGAAAGCCAGGGGAGCAAACGGG
rnacentral:rRNA from 1 species